UUACUGUCUCUUUCUUAUUUACUUUAACUUUUUUUAAGAAGUGAAAAGACUUCUAAUUUUAAUAACAGACGAGAAGACCCUUAGAGUUUUUAUAAAAGAAAAAAAAAUUUCUAAAUUUUUGUUGGGGCAACAAAUCUAAUCAAAAAGAUUAAUACAAAUAUAACAAGUCGAAGAUAUUUUUAGAAUGGUAAAACUACCUUAGGGAUAACAGCAUAAUUUUUUUUAAGUUUGUGACCUCGAUGUUGGACUAG
rnacentral:rRNA from 1 species